AAAGCGUGCGCAGGCGGUUUUGUAAGACUGUCGUGAAAUCCCCGGGCUCAACCUGGGAAUGGCGAUGGUGACUGCAAAGCUAGAGUUUGGCAGAGGGGGGUAGAAUUCCACGUGUAGCAGUGAAAUGCGUAGAUAUGUGGAGGAACACCGAUGGCGAAGGCAGCCCCCUGGGUCAAAACUGACGCUCAUGCACGAAAGCGUGGGGAGCAAACAGGAUUAGAUACCCCAGU
rnacentral:rRNA from 1 species